GACCGCGUAGCUCAGUUGGCAGAGCAUUGAUCUGGAAUUCCAAAGGUCGUAGGUUCGAUUCCCACCGUGGUCA
rnacentral:tRNA from 1 species